UAGUGAUUUUCCUUCAAAUUCUUUCUAUCUUUAUGAUUUAGAUACUUGAAUCAAGUAGGAAAUUGAUGAAUUUAUGCUAAGAAUCAUGAAAAUCAUACACAUGAGGGACCCCUUGAAUUUUGGCCAUCUUUGGGAGAAGGGAAAUUUGAGUGAUUUUGAUGAAAUUAAUUAUGUAAACAUGCUUGAAUGAGUGUAGAAAUGUGAAGUAUGCAAUUUAAUUGUAUGAAUUGGAGUUGUUGAUAAAUUAGGGUUCUUAACCCUUAGGG
rnacentral:misc_RNA from 1 species